rnacentral:rRNA from 1 species
CCUACGGGAGACAGCAGUGGGGAAUAUUGGGCAAUGGGCGCAAGCCUGACCCAGCAACGCCGCGUGAAGGAAGAAGGCUUUCGGGUUGUAAACUUCUUUUAAGAGGGAAGAGCAUAAGACGGUACCUCUUGAAUAAGCCACGGCUAACUACGUGCCAGCAUCCGCGGUAAUACGUAGGUGGCACGCGUUGUCCGGAAUUACUGGGUGUAAAGGGCGUGUAGCCGGGCUGACAAGUCAGAUGUGAAAUUCCGGGGCUCAACCCCGGACGUGCCUUUGAAACUGUUGGUCUUGAGUAUCGGAGAGGUAGGCGGAAUUCCUAGUGUAGCGGUGAAAUGCGUAGAUAUUAGGAGGAACACCAGUGGCGAAGGCGGCCUGCUGGACGACAACUGACGGUGAGGCGCGAAAGCGUGGGGAGCAAACAGGAUUAGAUACCCGUGUAGUC